rnacentral:snoRNA from 1 species
UUGGAUGAUGAAAUGCACUGGGCUCUGAGCAUGUCAUUGCAAAUAUGAUAGAAAUGCGUUUGCCCUAGAAAGCAUUAUCUGACUA